rnacentral:rRNA from 1 species
CUCCGGAUGUUUUUGCCGGACCCGACUGCUAUCGGAUUGAGAUUCAGGCCUGUUAGUCGAACGUCCCCCUGUUGCGGGGGGCGUGGCAUACGGCUCAAUAACACCCACUCGACCUGCCCUGGACACAUGGACUACCCCGGGAAACUGGGAUUAAUCCAUGAUAGGUCAUCUCAUCUGCAAAGACAUAUGGCUUACAGGGGUACGCCUGCCUCUUCCGCGAAUCUGCUCCAGGAUGGGACUGCCUCCGAUCAAGCUGUUGGCGGGGUAAUGGACCACCAAACCUGUAACCGGUACGGGCCUUGAGAGAGGUGGCCCCGAGAUGGUCACUGAGAGAAGGGUCCAGGUCCUACGGGGCACAACAGGCGCGAAACCUUCUUCAAUGCGCGAAAGCGUGCCGAGGUUAAUCCGAGUGGCCCCCGCUGAGGGGGUCUUUAGUCGGCUGUAAAUAGGCCCGCGAAUAAGGGGAGGGCAAGCCUGGUGUCAACCGCCGCGGUAAUACCACCUCCUCGAGUGGUCGGGGCGAUUAUUGGGCCUAAAGCAUCAGUAGCCGGUUCCGUAGGUCCUCUGUUAAAUCCAACCGCUUAACGGUUGACAUGCAGAGGAUACCGUGGGACUAGAAGGCGGGAGAGGCGGACGGUACUCCGCGUGUAGGGGUAAAAUCCUUUGAUCCGCGGAAGACCACCAGUGGCGAAGGCGGUCCGCCAGAACGCGCUCGACGAGUGAGGGAUGAAAGCUGGGGGAGCGAACCGGAUUAGAUACCCGGGUAGUCCCAACCGUAACCGAUGCUAGCUAGAUGAUUCAUUCGCAAGUCGCGAAUGAAGUGUCGCAGGGAAGCCGUUAAGCUCGCCGCCUGGGGAGUACGGUCGCAAGGCUGAAACCAUCGGAGUUAAAGUUUACCCUAUUCUUCAUGGCAGCGAACUUAAAGGAAUAAACGGGGGAGCACAAGGG